GACGAACGCUGGCGGCAUGCCUAAUACAUGCAAGUCGAACGCGGCCAUCCGGUGCUUGCACUGGUGAAGCCGAGUGGCGAACGGGUGAGUAACACGUGAGAAACCUGCCCUGGAGUGGGGAAUAACUCGAAGAAAUUCGAGCUAAUACCGCAUACCUUCUCUUCACCGCAUGGUGAGUUGAAGAAAGAUUUAUCGCUCUAGGAGGGUCUCGCGGCCUAUCAGCUAGUUGGUGAGGUAAUGGCUCACCAAGGCAUCGACGGGUAGCUGGUCUGAGAGGACGAUCAGCCACACUGGGACUGAGACACGGCCCAGACUCCUACGGGAGGCAGCAGUAGGGAAUCUUGCGCAAUGGGCGAAAGCCUGACGCAGCAACGCCGCGUGGAGGAUGAAGGCCUUCGGGUCGUAAACUCCUGUCGAUGGGGACGAACACAAUGACUGUACCCGUUGAGGAAGCCACGGCUAACUCCGUGCCAGCACG
rnacentral:rRNA from 1 species